CGAGUUGUAAUUUGUAGAGGGUGCUUCGGGUGCGAUGCCGGUCUAAGUUCCUUGGAACAGGACGUCGUAGAGGGUGAGAAUCCCGUAUGCGACCGGCGAUCAAGCCCGUGCGAAGCCCCUUCGACGAGUCGAGUUGUUUGGGAAUGCAGCUCAAAAUGGGUGGUAAAUUUCAUCUAAAGCUAAAUAUUGGCCAGAGACCGAUAGCGGACAAGUAGAGUGAUCGAAAGAUGAAAAGCACUUUGGAAAGAGAGUCAAACAGUACGUGAAAUUGUUGAAAGGGAAGCGCUUGCAAUCAGACCGGUCCGGAGGCGAUCAGCCGCUGCUCGUCAGCGGUGCACUCGCCUGCGAUCCGGCCAGCAUCGGUUUGGGCGGCGGGAUAAAAGUCCCGGGAAUGUAGCUUCUCCCGGGGAGUCUUAUAGCCCGGGUCGCAAUGCCGCCCGCCCGGACCGAGGACCGCGCUUCGGCUAGGAUGCUGGCGUAAUGGUUGCAAGCGACCCGUCUUGAAACACGGACCAAGGAGUCUAACAUCUAUGCGAGUGUUUGGGUGUCAAACCCAGGCGCGGAAUGAAAGUGAACGGAGGUGGGAACCCGUCAGACGGCGCACCAUCGACCGAUCCAGAUGUCUUCGGAUGGAUUUGAGUAUGAGCAUAGCUGUUGGGACCCGAAAGAUGGUGAACUAUGCCCGGAUAGGGUGAAGCCAGAGGAAACUCUGGUGGAGGCUCGCAGCGGUUCUGACGUGCAAAUCGAUCGUCAAAUCUAGGCAUAGGGGCGAAAGACCAAUCGAACCAUCU
rnacentral:rRNA from 1 species